rnacentral:rRNA from 1 species
AGCGAACGCUGGCGGCAGGCUUAACACAUGCAAGUCGAACGCCCCGCAAGGGGAGUGGCAGACGGGUGAGUAACACGUGGGAACGUACCCUUUGGUUCGGAAUAACUUGGGGAAACUCAAGCUAGUACCGGAUAAGCCCUUAUGGGGAAAGGUUUACUGCCGAAGGAUCGGCCCGCGUCUGAUUAGCUAGUUGGUGAGGUAAUGGCUCACCAAGGCGACGAUCAGUAGCUGGUCUGAGAGGAUGAUCAGCCACACUGGGACUGAGACACGGCCCAGACUCCUACGGGAGGCAGCAGGGGGGAAUAUUGGACAAUGGGGGCAACCCUGAUCCAGCCAUGCCGCGUGGGUGAUGUAAGCCUUAGGGUUGUAAAGCUCUUUUACCCGGGACGAUAAUGACUGUACCGGGAGAAUAAGCCCCGGCUAACUUCGUGCCAGCCGCCGCUGUAA